GAUGAACGCUGGCGGCGUGCCUAAUACAUGCAAGUCGAGCGAGCGGACGAGAAGCUUGCUUCUCUGAUGUUAGCGGCGGACGGGUGUGUAACACGUGGAUAACCUACCUAUAAGACUGGGAUAACUUCGGGAAACCGGAGCUAAUACCGGAUAAUAUUUUGAACCGCAUGGUUCAAAAGUGAAAGACGGUCUUGCUGUCACUUCUCGAUGGAUCCGCGCUGCAUUAGCUAGUUGGUAAGGUAACGGCUUACCAAGGCAACGAUGCAUAGCCGACCUGAGAGGGUGAUCGGCCACACUGGAACUGAGACACGGUCCAGACUCCUGCGGGAGGCAGCAGUAGGGAAUCUUACGCAAUGGGCGAGAGCCUGACAGAGCAACGCCGCGUGAGAGAUGAAGGUCUUCCGAUCGUAAAACUCUGUUAUUAGGGGAGAACAUAUGUGUAAGUAACUGUGCAGAUCUUGACGGUACCUAAUCAGAAAGCCACGGCUAACUACGUG
rnacentral:rRNA from 1 species